UACGAAGGGGGCUAGCGUUGCUCGGAAUUACUGGGCGUAAAGCGCACGUAGGCGGCUUGUUAAGUCAGGGGUGAAAUCCUGGAGCUCAACUCCAGAACUGCCUUCGAUACUGGCGAUCUCGAGUCCGGAAGAGGUGAGUGGAACUCCUAGUGUAGAGGUGGAAUUCGUAGAUAUUAGGAAGAACACCAGUGGCGAAGGCGGCUCACUGGUCCGGUACUGACGCUGAGGUGCGAAAGCGUGGGGAGCAAACAGG
rnacentral:rRNA from 1 species